rnacentral:misc_RNA from 1 species
UCCGGUUUAACACCGGCAGUCCCUCUAGAGAUCCGCUUGCGCGGCAACUAAAGGCGAGGGUUGCGCUCGUUGCGGGACUUAACCCAACGUCUCACGACACGAGCUGACGACAGCCAUGCACCACCUGUAUACCGCCACCUAAAUGACCCCGUAUCUCUACGAGUACACGGCAUAUGUCAAACCCAGGUAAGGUUCUUCGCGUUGCAUCGAAUUAAUCCGCAUGCUCCGCCGCUUGUGCAGGCCCCCGUCAAUUUCUUUGAGUUUUAGCCUUGCGGCCGUACUCCCCAGGCGGGACACUUAUCGCGUUGGCUGCGGCACGGACAGAUUCGACUCCGCCCACACCUAGUGUCCAUCGUUUACGGCGUGGACUAC